rnacentral:rRNA from 1 species
UCCCCGGGUGACGAGCGGCGGACGGGUGAGUAAUGUCUGGGAAACUGCCUGAUGGAGGGGGAUAACUACUGGAAACGGUAGCUAAUACCGCAUAACGUCGCAAGACCAAAGAGGGGGACCUUCGGGCCUCUUGCCAUCAGAUGUGCCCAGAUGGGAUUAGCUAGUAGGUGGGGUAAUGGCUCACCUAGGCGACGAUCCCUAGCUGGUCUGAGAGGAUGACCAGCCACACUGGAACUGAGACACGGUCCAGACUCCUACGGGAGGCAGCAGUGGGGAAUAUUGCACAAUGGGCGCAAGCCUGAUGCAGCCAUGCCGCGUGUGUGAAGAAGGCCUUCGGGUUGUAAAGCACUUUCAGCGAGGAGGAAGGUGGUGAGCUUAAUACGCUCAUCAAUUGACGUUACUCGCAGAAGAAGCACCGGCUAACUCCGUGCCAGCAGCCGCGGUAAUACGGAGGGUGCAAGCGUUAAUCGGAAUUACUGGGCGUAAAGCGCACGCAGGCGGUUUGUUAAGUCAGAUGUGAAAUCCCCGGGCUCAACCUGGGAACUGCAUUUGAAACUGGCAAGCUAGAGUCUCGUAGAGGGGGGUAGAAUUCCAGGUGUAGCGGUGAAAUGCGUAGAGAUCUGGAGGAAUACCGGUGGCGAAGGCGGCCCCCUGGACGAAGACUGACGCUCAGGUGCGAAAGCGUGGGGAGCAACAGGAUUAGAUACCCUGGUAGUCCACGCUGUAAACGAUGUCGAUUUGGAGGUUGUGCCCUUGAGGCGUGGCUUCCGGAGCUAACGCGUUAAAUCGACCGCCUGGGG